GGACGGGUGGUCUAGACUGGUAUGAUACUGCCCUUACGAGGCAGUGGUCGAGGGUCCAAAUCCCUCCCCGUCCA
rnacentral:tRNA from 1 species